rnacentral:ncRNA from 1 species
UAAAAAGCCGCGAAGGGAAGGAGUACGCGUUUCCCAGGGUGCAGAGAGGAGCCGGUCGGUGCAAGGCUCUCCGUUGGGAAUGCGGAAGGUGGUCCCGGAGCUCCGCUCCUGAAGCAAGUAGGGGGCGGCGGGUUCUCCCGUUACCGAGACAAUGAGUGUUCUCCCACGGGAGAAAAUUCAGGUGGUACCACGGACUGCAUCGGUUCGUCCUGAGC